CCAGCAAACACUACCACUAAGCUAUGCCUCAGCCCGUCAUGGAGAGGUUCUUAUCUCUCCCUCAUCGGUGAGGGAGCUGAGGCUCAGAAGAGCACAAACUCUCCCAAGAUCACAUCCCUGGCAAGAACUGAAGGGCCAGAGGUGGAGAGCCUGGUCUUCAGAGCUCCGCAGAACAACCCCAGGACCCCAUCCUUCCUCAUUUCCAUCACACCCGCCUUCUCCUCCAUCCUCAGCUCGCUGACAAGACGACCUCAGAGCCUCAGGACUCUCAGGAUGGGUGGGAUCAUGUGAAUCGCCCUCGGUGAGCUUCGGGCUUGCAACCAGUGAGGACAGUGACUGCCUCCUCGGAGACACCCCUGCGACAUCGGAACUGAGCCUAGAUCUGUCCCUCUGUGCACUGGUACGCCAGUCUUUCACACCCCCCAGGUUCCCAUCUGAAAUUCAAGGACACAGAAAAUGACGCUCGGGUUCCUCUUCCCUACCAUGCAAGUUCAGAUCUUGGGCCGACGAGGUGAGAAUGAGUCAGGAGACCGGAGUGUUUUUAGAAGCAACAGUGACAGCAGCCAUGUUGGAAACAGCCUGUUCCGAUUCGGCUAUGAAGUGUCCCCUCAAAGGGCUCGGCCCCCAGCUGGAGUACCUGUAUCUCUAAUAUAGGACUGUACUAUUGUUUUCAAUGACUGAAUCAAAAAGGCUGUCACCUCCUCAGUGGCUUGAUCCACGGAUGAAAUUAUAACAAUGCUGUUAUCAGGAGGGCGUGGUAACCCCAAGGACAGGGCCUAGAUGGAAUUCACCCGAGUUCCUCUCUCUGACCAGAAGUGCCUCUGCCUGGCUAUUCUCUCCUGCCUAGCUAUUGGCCAUUCAGCUCUUUAUUAAACCAAUCACGGCGACACAUCUUCACACAGUGUCAACAAAUAUUCCGCAACAGUUGACUAGAUACAGAAACCACUACAACCAGACUGAAGAAGGGAAACUGUCUGCAAGGUGACUGAGGGAGCUGUAGGGAGCUGUGGGAACCAGGCCUCCUUCACCAGGCUGCCCUGGGCCCUUGGUGCCAGGCUACCGCUGUCCCAGCCCAGUCAGCUCCUGGAGUUUGAGAACAGCCAGAGAGGAGAUGCCCACCUGUCCUUAGAGACUUUCUGCAGUCCCUGCUCCUGGUCCUGGACACUCCAUGCCUGCCUUACCACACUGCCACGUUUGCAAGCCCAGGGCAUGGAAGCCUGAACACCAGACACUGAAGCAAUUCAGAACUUCCCAGUCAAGAUCACUAAGUGAGCGAAAACUAAAGCCAUUUCUGCACUCCGGGCUCUUCACAGGGAGUAGAAACCUACAGUUACCUCAGUGGUGCCACCACUGAGCCCAGAGGAAGCUACGGGCAGGAAAAGCUGGCGGCUCGGCUUCAGCAUCCGGGAACUGGAGUCACGGUCACCGAUUCAUGUUGGCAGGUGGCUGAAUGAGAGCCUUGUACGGAGCCUGCUAAAGAACCAGGGGUGGACAUGGCUUGCUUUCUAUGCAGAAACAUACCUCUUGCCCCCAGCCAGAGACAGCGACGGAGGUGUCUGCAGGACUGGAAACGGCUUCAUGUCCAGUAUCUAGAAUUCAGUCUCUGCUCAGGGCAGGAACAUUAUAGCAUUAACCUAAGAUGAAAUGUGCAGCCAGAGUGCGCAAGCAGGAAACCAUGCGGUGAGGACACUGCCCUGCACAGAGGUCUGAGAAAGUGACCAGAUAUAUGAGUCCAUCUGCUGCUAGGGAAAAGAUCCAGGAAACAGGCUGGGUCCUGGUGGAGGACACACACAUUCUUAAAAUCCUCACACCGGAAAUUAGGGACGGCAUUCAUAAAAUAAAACCAGAAAACUAGGAAACAAGAACAGGCAAGAUGAGUCAGUGGGUAAAGGCAGCUGACAACCUGAAUCCCACCCCCAGGACCUGCAUGGGCAAAGAAAGCCAGCUCCCAACAAGUUAUCCUCAGACCUGUCUACAUAUAUGGCACAGCAUGUUAAGAUAAAAUUAAGAAAAAUUUAGGGGAAAAUAGGCAGAUAUUGAAAAGAAUUGUAAAUACUCUGAAUUAAGAAUAACCAUGGGGUGGACUGGACAGGCUUGGGGGUUGAAUGCUGGUCUCCAGCUGGGAGUACCACUUGGGGAGAUGGUGGGAACUUUAGGAAGUGGGGAUCAGCUGGAGGAAGUGGUCGCUGGGGCCAGCCUUCUGGUCGACCUUCUUUCUCAGCUUCCUGUCUGCCAUGGGGUGAGCAGCCUCUUCCAUGCCGCUGCUGCCCCUGUGGUGUUCUGCCUUCCACAGGCCCAGAAUCAGCGGAGCCAAGGGUGAGGGACUCAACUCUGAAACCGUGAGCCAAGAACGGCUCCCCCUGAGACGUUUGUGUCAAGUAUUCUUUUUGUAAAUUUUCAAGAUUUAUUUAUUUUAUGUGUGUGAGUGUUUUGCCUGCAUGUAUGUUUGUGUAUGUGCAUGUGCAUG